rnacentral:lncRNA from 1 species
AAGAUUGGCUAGUGAUGAGGUUGAGUUGAUCUAUUAUCCUUAGUUGAUAAUUCAAUUUGAAUGGAAAUGAUUUUUAUUCAGUUUCAAUUUGGCAAAAAGAUAAAAACGAUUUGAAGAUUUUAAUCACAAGUGAAACUCUAUUCGAGUGAAGGAAUUAUAUUACAGAAAGACAUGGAAUCAUCAACACAAGAGGACACGACAGUAUUGAGAGAAAAAUAGAGAGGGAAAAAUCUUAGAGAAAACAAAUGAGGAAAAAAUGAUUAUAGGAAGUAAUCAAUUGCAACCACCAGUGCCACCACUAUUUUCACCAAGCCAAUUCUGCCACCAUCUCCAUAGUCGAGCCCAGAUCCUUCUGCAAAAAGCAUACUACAACACAAUUCCAGGUUGAGGCCACUAGACCCAAUAACAACUCAUAAGAUAGCCAAAAAUCCCUAGUAAUCAACAAUUAUAAUCCAAAACACAAUUACACAGAAAGUACACUAUUGCAAAUCUACAGCCUUCAAACACAGUACACAAGAAAUAAAUCGGGGCAAGCCAGUUAGCUUUUGGAGAGAUCGGACGAUGGAGGUGGAAACCUAAAGAACGUGGAGAAGCAAACAGUUAGAAAGUCGGUUAGCACCAAUGCUCGAAGCAGCAACAAUAGCAGUUGGCAAUAGUGACAUGAGCUUUUGAGAUCAAGAAAGGUAGAAGUGUAGAGCAAAGAACGGUGAAUAACAUAUCCAAAAAUCAACAUGAUCGGAUGGUGUAAAGACGCUAAAAUAGUGGAAGAAAGUUACAGCUUGUAGCUUUAGAUCCAGGGCAUUUAAGAAGGAUUUUCAAAAACCCGAGCCUGUAUCCGAGACGAGGAAACGGAGAAGAAGGAACAGUGGAAUUUUAGGCUGCAUUGGUGACUGGACAAUGGUGGUGUGUGGUGACAGGCGACGGCACUAUUGUCCAAAAUAUGAAAAAUAGGAUUUCUGUUCAU